GAUGAACGCUGGCGGCGUGCCUAAUACAUGCAAGUCGAACGGACAGGCCAUGCUCUUGCGGGGUGCUCGAGUGGCGAACGGGUGAGUAACACGUGAGUAAAAUGCCCCUGUCUUUGGGAUAAAUCCAGGAAACUGGGGCUAAUAUAGGAUAGGAGCUCCUGAUGCACGGUGGGGGUUGGAAAGUUUCGGCGGUAGGGGAUGGUAUAGCGGCUUAUCAGCUUGUUGGUGGGGUAGUGGCUUACCAAGGCUUUGAAGGGUAGCCGGCCUGGGAGGUUGACCGGCCACAAUGGGACUGAGGUACGGACCAGACUCCUACGGGAGGCAGCAGUGGGGAAUAUGGCACAAUGGGCGCAAGCCUGAGGCAGCGACGCCGCGUGCGGAAUAACGGCCUUCGAGUUAUAAACCGCUGUCGCCUGUGACGAAGCGGGAGUGACGGUAAUGGGUAAGGAAGCACCGGCUAACUACGUG
rnacentral:rRNA from 1 species